UAAAGAGGGGGAGUCUCUUCGCCCCCUCACUCUCCCUCUUUGCCUUGUCCCGGCCCUGAGUGGCCGCCCCAGAAGGGGUUGAAAGAAUGUUGUUGGCUGGGACACACCCGGGGAGGGCACACACUGGAGGAAGCGUAGAGACGUCGCCAGGGACCCAGGGUCCUCUCCUCCCACUUGCCCGGGCCGCGUCGGCCCGGCUGGCCGCUCUGUCUUAACAGCGCCCACUUGGCCCAGCGGUCCCAGGACAACCAGCUGGCCCCUUGUCCCGGACACUUGAAUAUCCUCCCUGGAUCACUGCUUCAGCCCAUACUUUGGGGAAGGUGUUUCCCCGGUGUUCGCUCCGGAUCAGGCGUCUGCGCCCUCAGGGACACCCCGACUGCCAAGUUUGCGCCCCUCCUGGGACCGCUUGAGAAAAGGACAAACUUUUGAAUGGAUAAAAAUCAAGAGGAGUCCGUCUGGAGCAGGGUCCUCUUCCCCUUGGAUGCAGAGGCUGCUCGUCUCUUGGCUGUUGGCUCUCUGUCCAAGGAACACCCCUGAUUAGCCAGGCCCACAGCCAUCCACAUCUGCUCAGCAAAGAAGGGAGGCUACUCAUUCCAGGUCUUGGUGGAAGGGAUGCCGACUGUCUGCACAACACAGCUUCCUUGCCUCAACUGGCCCCUCAGGGAAGGUGGAAACCUUCACGUCUCAGGAUCGGAACUCGGCUGGCAGAGCGGACAGCUGCACUCUGGAGCCGGACGCCAGAAGAAGUUUCUGCCGUUGGGCUCUCCUUGCUGCCUCGGCCUCUGCCCAUGUGUGCUGUUGUUUUCUCCUUCACUGGGGAGGGGUGUGGGCAGGGAAGUAAAAUGUUACUCUCCACUCCCCUCCUUUCCCAUACCCUACCCCCACCAAACCUUCUAGCUCCUGAUGGUAAUGAACUUCAGCUUCCAGCCUUACUCAUAAGCUACUCACAGCGAAUUCAAAUCCUCUUCAGGGCAGGAGGGAGGACAGAUGCUCCUUCCUCAGUCCUCCCUUGCUCAUUGAUCCAUUCGAAAGGUCUCAAAGUCGAGACCAGAUUGCUUCAAUUGGUAUAAAAUUAGCCUUUUAAAAAAUCACCCCAAAGGCCCAGGUUUCUAGCAUCCCAGAAUAGAAGGCUUGGAGUUCCUGGCUUGCUCAGUCAGUGGAGCAUGUGAGUCUUGCUCUCAGGGUCAUGAGUUCAAGUCCACAUUGGGCAUAGAAAUUAAAAAAAAGAGAGAGAACAGAAGGUCUUUACCCAGACCCACACCUCUUCUCUGGCCUUUCCAACCAGUUGAUGAUAUAAAGCCUUGUGGAAAAGAAACAGAAGGGAAUCAUGCAGUUUCCUCCAUCUAAAAGUCAGUUGCCUCAGCUGUUCAUUCUACUAAUACUUAUUUAGUACGUAAGUGUGUAAAGCAUCACCCCUACCUCAGUUUGUCAUGACUGUCAAAAGCAGUUCUUGCCCCCUGUGAGGUGUCAGUGUGGUGUGUGUGGGGACAGAUACAAAAAUAAACGAAUCAAUGGGAAAGAAA